CGCGCUUUCUCCUCUCGGUGGGGACAGUCGUCAUUUAGCGCCGUAGGUCAUAGCGCGAGCUCCAGAGGUGCACAUGCUUAGCAGUGAAGUUGAAGCUGCUUCUUAGCUACAGUAUAAAUCUGCUGUGGCCAACUGAAGUUGAGUAAUCUGUGCAGCCUUGUUUGACCAGCUUAACUUUUAUUCUGUCUCGAUCAAUUGUCCUUUGUAGAGAUGACUUAAAUUUUAAAAUAGAAGCUAGCUCUUGUAAAAUGUCUUAUGAUAUACUGCCUUUUCCCCCCAAGGAAAUCAGUGGGUAGGCGACACCUUUCUGUGGUACUUCGUAAAAUUUUCAUAGUAACAUUUAACAAGCGUGGGAAUCCCUGCUGCCUGGCCAGAGGUCACAUAGGAAACGGCAAUUUUAAGGAAGCUGUUGUUUGUCUCACCAUGCGUGACGGCGGUAUGCGCCCCAGUGCCGCUAUUAUUUAAUUGCAAGGUGUUUUUCAUGUGCAGAAAUGUGUUUUAAUGUAUUGUCUAUGUUUUAAAAUUUGUUCAUCAUUAGUAAAGUAACAGUAACUAAGUAUUCUCCCAGUGUAAUAAAAUAUUCUCUCCAAGUCUAAGGCAGCAAUAGAGUUGAAUACAGAAGAGUCAUAUUCAUUUAUUCCAUGUCCAGAGAGACACAGCGGUUUUUAGAGACUGACUGAAUCUGAAUUAGGAAACAUUAAAGCCAGCCAGCAAGUGGACAUUGUCCUAGGUAGCUAGGACAGGAUAGGCACGACUGGGCGUCACCACCCAUGUAAGACAUUGUCCCAUCAGCAAGGGUGUUGCUACAGCCUGGGAGAUAUAGAGACAGCUAGAACAACUAGAUGUCUGUAUGUCUGUAAUGUUAAUUUGUAGUGAUAGGGAGUGCUGAAGUCUAGAAGAAGGUUCUUUUCAGGCCAGAAAGCUUCCACAGAAAUGGGAGGCGAGGGCCGGGCCACAAAUGAGAAGAGUAGAAUUUGGAUGGAGUGUGAGGGGGCAGGUUAUGAAGGUAAAAUACAGGAGGGAAAGCAAGUCGGUGGAGCAAAGGUAACGCAGUGUUUGUGUGUGGAAAGUACGUAUACGUGAUACUAAAUCAUGGUUAUAGAGCUCCACAUGCCUCAAAAAGCCUCGUGUACAAGUGAAGUGAGUCUGUUUAUAUUUGCUUUUCCUGUUUUGUAACCUGUGUGCUUUGGUCAUGGUGACCUGUAGGCUCCGGGGAAGGGGUGCCUGGUGCCUCUGUUCCUCCUGGGCCGCAUUCCUAGGCCAGCUGGUCUGCCUUUCUCUCUUUGUAUGUAAUACCACGUUUCCUCCCUUUCCAGCAAGUACUUUUCAAAAGAACUCUGUACAUUUUCAUAUAAAAAAUAAAUACGUUGAGCUAUUUUGAAAACAAA